rnacentral:rRNA from 1 species
ACCGCACAUCCAGAGGUUUUGUCAUGGCUCAGGAUGAACGCUGGCGGCGUGCCUAAUACAUGCAAGUCGAGCGAAUGGAUUAAGAGCUUGCUCUUAUGAAGUUAGCGGCGGACGGGUGAGUAACACGUGGGUAACCUGCCCAUAAGACUGGGAUAACUCCGGGAAACCGGGGCUAAUACCGGAUAACAUUUUGAACCGCAUGGUUCGAAAUUGAAAGGCGGCUUCGGCUGUCACUUAUGGAUGGACCCGCGUCGCAUUAGCUAGUUGGUGAGGUAACGGCUCACCAAGGCAACGAUGCGUAGCCGACCUGAGAGGGUGAUCGGCCACACUGGGACUGAGACACGGCCCAGACUCCUACGGGAGGCAGCAGUAGGGAAUCUUCCGCAAUGGACGAAAGUCUGACGGAGCAACGCCGCGUGAGUGAUGAAGGCUUUCGGGUCGUAAAACUCUGUUGUUAGGGAAGAACAAGUGCUAGUUGAAUAAGCUGGCACCUUGACGGUACCUAACCAGAAAGCCACGGCUAACUACGUGCCAGCAGCCGCGGUAAUACGUAGGUGGCAAGCGUUAUCCGGAAUUAUUGGGCGUAAAGCGCGCGCAGGUGGUUUCUUAAGUCUGAUGUGAAAGCCCACGGCUCAACCGUGGAGGGUCAUUGGAAACUGGGAGACUUGAGUGCAGAAGAGGAAAGUGGAAUUCCAUGUGUAGCGGUGAAAUGCGUAGAGAUAUGGAGGAACACCAGUGGCGAAGGCGACUUUCUGGUCUGUAACUGACACUGAGGCGCGAAAGCGUGGGGAGCAAACAGGAUUAGAUACCCUGGUAGUCCACGCCGUAAACGAUGAGUGCUAAGUGUUAGAGGGUUUCCGCCCUUUAGUGCUGAAGUUAACGCAUUAAGCACUCCGCCUGGGGAGUACGGCCGCAAGGCUGAAACUCAAAGGAAUUGACGGGGGCCCGCACAAGCGGUGGAGCAUGUGGUUUAAUUGCGAAGCAACGCGAAGAACCUUACCAGGUCUUUGACAUCCUCUGACAACCCUAGAGAUAGGGCUUCUCCUUCGGGAGCAGAGUGACAGGUGGUGCAUGGUUGUCGUCAGCUCGUGUCGUGAGAUGUUGGGUUAAGUCCCGCAACGAGCGCAACCCUUGAUCUUAGUUGCCAUCAUUUAGUUGGGCACUCUAAGGUGACUGCCGGUGACAAACCGGAGGAAGGUGGGGAUGACGUCAAAUCAUCAUGC